AUCAUUUAAUUUGCACAUUGUUCGUACUUGUUAUUACCGAAGUACAUUCACUCUGACUCCGCCAAUCAUAUACGUCACCUUGAUGACGUAACAAGUAGAGUUAAAAGCAAACAAAGAAAUUCUAACAUUGACCCAACAUUGAAUGAUAAAAUAAAAGCAAACAAAUUCGAGAUAUCAGUAAAAAGUAUCUAUUUUCUUUUUGGUCAAAAGUAAAAAAAUUAUCUAUUUAAAAACACAAAUCAAUAGUAGUCUAUUGCGGAAAACUUAAUAAAAAUAGUAUGUCGUAAAUCUAAAAGACGCUUUUCUGCCAGUUUGUCAUAUAGUGAUCAGUGUGUAAGGAAAAAUCUUAGAAAAUAUCAUUGGGAAAAAGGUCAAACAAGAAGAAAUCAUGUUUAAUAAGGCGGGUCCGGGUAUAUUUGUGACAGUGUAUGAAACUUUUAUUAGAAAGAGUAGAAAAUAUAUGAAAACGAGAGUCAAAACCAUAUACAUCCGGAUGUUCUGUUACUAACGCUAAUACGUUGAAACGAUGAGCUGCAUGAGCAUGAUAUUUGAUAAGUAUAGUUAUAAUUAAUGUGACUAAUGGUUUUUUUUUUUUAAACACACAUAAUGUGACUAAUGGUUAAAGAAUGCAUAUUUGAAGGUUAUAUUUCCCAGUUCUGUGGCUUUCUUUCACAAACGCGGUCGUUGACGGUCCAAAUAAAUCUUUUUAAGGUCAGCAUAAGAUAAUAAUAAGACACUAAGACCGAUGUAUGAGAUGGUUUAGAUUUGUUUUUGUUUAGUUUUAAUUUAAGAUUAUCAUGGAAACGUGGGCAGAUUGUAUGAUCUAUACAAGGGAAAUGAUGUGUAGAUCGGGUUAGGCAGCGUGUUCAAGAUAUAAAAUAUUAAAACUUCCGCGUAAGUCCGUUCGUCACCUAAUGUUCAAAAAAAAAAGUCCGUUCGUCACCUACUUGCAUUUAUUACAUUCAAUUCAUUUUCUUGUGAGAAAAACUCAAAUAGUUUCAGAAGUUGACUAUAUCAUUGUAUCAUGCAUGUCACAUUCAUACAGUUAGUUUGAUAUCAAUGGCUCGAAUUGGAGACAUAUAUACCAUGUUAUAAAAUAAAUAAAUUGACAAAAAGUGUAUUAUAAAGAUUAAAUAUGGAAAAUAUUAUCAAACUUCAUAACUACCACGUCUCUAAACAUAAAUUUACAUAAAUUUCUUAUAUUUAUCCUACGAAAUUAUAAGUUCAGCUAUAGUCACUAAAACAUUAUAAAACACAAAAUAUUUUCAUUAUAAAAAUAUAUGCUGCUAUUUUAAUCAUUAAGCUUCAUUUUAAGGUGCGAAAAUCCCAUUAUUAAACUGACUAAACAAAACCCUCCCGGAAAAACAAAGAAACAAAGAUAAAUAU